GAGUUUGAUCAUGGUUCAGGAUGAACGCUAGCGACAGGCUUAACACAUGCAAGUCGAGGGGCAGCAUAAAAGUAGCAAUACUUUGGUGGCGACCGGCGCACGGGUGAGUAACGCGUAUGCAACCUACCUAUCAGAGGGGAGUAACCCGGCGAAAGUCGGACUAAUACCGCAUAAAACAGGGGCACCGCAUGGUGAUAUUUGUUAAAGAAAUUCGCUGAUAGAUGGGCAUGCGUUCCAUUAGGUAGUUGGUGAGGUAACGGCUCACCAAGCCGACGAUGGAUAGGGGAACUGAGAGGUUGGUCCCCCACACUGGUACUGAGACACGGACCAGACUCCUACGGGAGGCAGCAGUGAGGAAUAUUGGUCAAUGGGCGGGAGCCUGAACCAGCCAAGUCGCGUGAAGGAAGAAGGAUCUAUGGUUCGUAAACUUCUUUUGCAGGGGAAUAAAGUGCGGGACGUGUCCUGUUUUGUAUGUACCCUGAGAAUAAGGAUCGGCUAACUCCGUGCCAGCAGCCGCGGUAAUAC
rnacentral:rRNA from 1 species